rnacentral:rRNA from 1 species
GACGGAAGGUGCAAGCGUUGCUCGGAAUCACUGGGCGUAAAGGGUGCGUAGGCGGCUUGGUAAGUCGGGUGUGAAAGCCCCGGGCUCAGCCUGGGAAGGGCACUCGAAACUGCCGAGCUGGAGUGCCGGAGGGGAGAGUGGAAUUCCUGGUGUAGCGGUGAAAUGCGUAGAUAUCAGGAGGAACACCAGUGGCGAAGGCGGCUCACUGGCCCGAUACUGACGCUGAGGCACGAAAGCGUGGGGAGCAAACAGG